rnacentral:rRNA from 1 species
GUUGAUAAGGUUAAGUGAAUAAGGGCGCACGGUGGAUGCCUUGGCACUAGGAGCCGAUGAAGGACGGGACUAACACCGAUAUGCUUUGGGGAGCUGUACGUAAGCUAUGAUCCAGAGAUUUCCGAAUGGGGGAACCCAGCAUCUUUUAUAGGAUGUUACGUUUGCGUGAAUACAUAGCGCAUUCGAGGUAGACGCAGAGAACUGAAACAUCUAAGUACCUGCAGGAAGAGAAAGAAAAUUCGAUUCCCUGAGUAGCGGCGAGCGAAACGGGAAAAGCCCAAACCAAUGAGCUUGCUCAUUGGGGUUGUAGGACUCCAAUAUGGUAGUUCUUUCAGAUAGUCGAAUGACUUGGAAAAGUCAGUCAAAGAGGGUAAAAACCCCGUAGAUGAAAUUUGGAAGGCACCUAGGAGGAUCCUGAGUACGGCGGAACACGAGGAAUUCCGUCGGAAUCCGGGAGGACCAUCUCCCAAGGCUAAAUACUCCCUAGUGACCGAUAGUGAACCAGUACCGUGAGGGAAAGGUGAAAAGCACCCCGGAAGGGGAGUGAAAUAGAACCUGAAACCGUGUGCCUACAACAAGUCAAAGCCCGUUAAUGGGUGAUGGCGUGCCUUUUGUAGAAUGAACCGGCGAGUUACGAUUGCAUGCGAGGUUAAGUUGAAGAGACGGAGCCGCAGCGAAAGCGAGUCUGAAUAGGGCGUUUGAGUAUGUAGUCGUAGACCCGAAACCAUGUGAUCUACCCAUGUCCAGGUUGAAGGUGCGGUAAAACGCACUGGAGGACCGAACCCACGUACGUUGAAAAGUGCGGGGAUGAGGUGUGGGUAGCGGAGAAAUUCCAAACGAACUUGGAGAUAGCUGGUUCUCUCCGAAAUAGCUUUAGGGCUAGCCUCGGAAUUGAGAAUGAUGGAGGUAGAGCACUGUUUGGACUAGGGGCCCAUCUCGGGUUACCGAAUUCAGAUAAACUCCGAAUGCCAUUCAUUCAUAUCCGGGAGUCAGACUGUGAGUGAUAAGAUCCAUAGUCGAAAGGGAAACAGCCCAGACCACCAGCUAAGGUCCCAAAAUAUAUGUUAAGUGGAAAAGGAUGUGGGGUUGCACAGACAACUAGGAUGUUGGCUUAGAAGCAGCCACCAUUUAAAGAGUGCGUAAUAGCUCACUAGUCGAGUGACCCUGCGCCGAAAAUGUACCGGGGCUAAACAUAUUACCGAAGCUGUGGAGUACACCUUUAGGUGUAUU